rnacentral:lncRNA from 1 species
AUGGCUGUGGACCCAAGUACAGGAGACAACACGGGCCAGCAGAAGUCGGUGGCAGAGCUGGAGGACAAGAAAGGAAAGGAAAUUGAAUUCUGUCGGAUAGCAGCAUUCUUUCGUCUUGCCUUCCAACCUCUAACCAGCCUUGAAAAUGCAUGGGAUGAAGGAUGCGAUGGAAAAACAUUCAUCACCGUGUUGACCACUGAUCAAAAGCACUUAGCUAGGAAGUGCAGGAUCUGCCAUCAUCUUUUAUUUUCUAUAGUCACAAAGCAGAGUAGCUGAUCUGACAUCUGUAAAAAAAUACUAAUAAUAAAAAAGUGAAAACCUCAAUCA